rnacentral:rRNA from 1 species
AMAAUGACUCUCGGCAACGGAUAUCUCGGCUCUCGCAUCGAUGAAGAACGUAGCGAAAUGCGAUACUUGGUGUGAAUUGCAGAAUCCCGUGAACCAUCGAGUCUUUGAACGCAAGUUGCGCCCCAAGCCUUUAGGCCGAGGGCACGCCUGCCUGGGUGUSACAC